rnacentral:rRNA from 1 species
UACGGAGGGUGCGAGCGUUAAUCGGAAUUACUGGGCGUAAAGCGCACGUAGGCGGUCAGGCAAGUCGGGUGUGAAAGCCCUGGGCUCAACCUGGGAAUUGCAUUCGAAACUAUCUGACUAGAGUAUGGGAGAGGGAAGCGGAAUUUCCGGUGUAGCGGUGAAAUGCGUAGAUAUCGGAAGGAACACCAGUGGCGAAGGCGGCUUCCUGGACCGGUAUUGACGCUGAUGCGCGAAAGCCAGGGGAGCAAACGGG